AUCCAGCCAACGAAUCCCAAAUAAAACGAAACACGCGUCUUGGAU
rnacentral:hammerhead_ribozyme from 1 species